ACAAAUGCUACUUGUCACAUUUUCAGUUUGUUUAUUGCUUGUUUAAUCAGUUCCUGUGUUCCUUUGUUCAGUUUCCCGCCACUCAUUUAUUCCCAUGAUUAUGUCAUUACUUUCAGCUGUGUUUAAUCUAUUAUAUUGUUUCCGUUUCCUAUUUAAGUUGCACCCUUGCCUGCACUCUUUGUCUAGUCACUGUUAUGUGUUUGUACGACCUGUUUGCCUCCUAUUUAAGUUGGAAUUAAACCUUUUUGAGUUUUUGUAACCUGAUUUUCUGUCUUCUUCGGUUACCUGCAUACAUUGUGACACUACUAGUACCUGGAGGAGAACCUUGUCUACCCCUCAACUCAAGCUGAGUCCCAUUGUUCUUGAUGGAUGAAACUGCUGACACAGAUACACAAACGGCACAAGACUUCCCAUGGACCCUUGCUCUCACUGGCACAGGAUGUAAUGAAAACCAACCGGCCUCAGCAGAAUACAUGCUUUGAUGUCCACUAGCACUCAACCCUUUCUCUUUCUCACUCUCUUUUUGUCUCUUUCCCUCAUGGAAACCAAAAGACAUUUUCUCUGUUCCUGCUUCCCUAUCUUUCCUUCUCAAUUCCUUCUGAGGAUAUUUGAAAGCCUGACUGCACUAUAUAAAUGAAACAUUUCAUUUAUAAUAGAACAUCAAAACAGCUCGGUGAGAGUCCUAAAGGACAAAUGCACAGGGAAAGCAAAUUUACACACCAUAUUUACAAAAAUGUAGUGUAAAUAAACAGUAGAAGAGCUAAGACUGCAAAAUGAAGAAAAAAUAUAUACAAAUAAACACACUUGCUGCAGAUGAUAUCACACAGAAAUUUAGUCCAAUUAGCAGCCUUCACAUUUGUACACAGAAAUAUUUAUAUAAAUAUUUAUUAAAUUAAAUAAUAAGUACACUACUGUUCAAACGUAAUUUUUUAAUGUUUUUGAAAGAAGUUUCUUAUGCUCACCAAG